GAUAGUGGCAAAAUGAAAGUGUGAAGUAUUUAUGCUCAAGGUCUGAAUAUUUGGUCCAGAGCAGUCUCCAAUAGUUAAGCUGGUGCUUGAGCUUCGGCUACAGAAUGGGGAGAUUUUGCGGCAGUUGGGGGCGAUGCAGCAGGACAUUAGAAACUUAAGUUUUAAUUUAUCGCAAAUGAAGGCCUCAAUGUCUGCUGCACCGCCUUCGCCGGAAAUGGCUCCAGAGCCGUCGCGGGCGCCCCUUCCAAAGCUGCCCGCGGCGACUAUGGAAGAAUUCAGGGAAUUGGAAAAUGCCCUGAAGGAUAAAGCUACAGCCACAGCCCUGCAGCUGGAGGUGGCUACAUGGG